rnacentral:rRNA from 1 species
GACGAACGCUGGCGGCGUGCCUAAUACAUGCAAGUAGAACGCUGAAGGAGGAGCUUGCUUCUCUGGAUGAGUUGCGAACGGGUGAGUAACGCGUAGGUAACCUGCCUGGUAGCGGGGGAUAACUAUUGGAAACGAUAGCUAAUACCGCAUAAGAGUAGAUGUCGCAUGACAUUUGCUUAAAAGGUUCAAUUGCAUCACUACCAGAUGGACCUGCGUUGUAUUAGCUAGUUGGUGAGGUAACGGCUCACCAAGGCAACGAUACAUAGCCGACCUGAGAGGGUGAUCGGCCACACUGGGACUGAGACACGGCCCAGACUCCUACGGGAGGCAGCAGUAGGGAAUCUUCGGCAAUGGACGGAAGUCUGAGCGAGCAACGCCGCGUGAGUGAAGAAGGUUUUCGGAUCGGAAAGCUCUGUUGUAAGAGAAGAACGAGUGUGAGAGUGGAAAGUUCACACUGUGACGGUAUCUUACCAGAAAGGGACGGCUAACUACGUG